CAUUUUGUUUUAAGGAAUGGAUUGAAGAAAAAAAGCUCCAACCCACGUAUCCCCUAAACUAUACUCUCUCUUUUUCGUCUCACCUGCCUCUCUCUUGUUCUCCCUCUUCUUCUAUCACCUCUCCUCCAAUCGUCCUUGUAUAUUUCCCUCAAUCUCCUGAAGACGUUGUGCCUCCAACGAAGACAACGACACCGUGCCUUUCUCCCUCACGCCGACGACAAAGGGACUCGGGAUCUCAGCCACGGGGUAGACGCCGCAGGGUCUAGCAUCAGCGAUCUUCGACGGGUCAAGAGUAGAUUGGGUCUUGGACUUUGUUAUGCACAUGAGGAAGAAGGGCCUGAAGCUGACCAAGAGGUUAUAGGAGCUCUUGUUGCAAAAAGACUUUAAAGCGUAUUCUUGUCAAAGGUGGAAGACGUUAUGAUUGUUCGUUUUUCAUUUUGAUGUUUUUUUGUUAUUUUUGAUUAAUUUGUUGAGUCAAACUGAGUAUGAAAUGUAUAUGAGUUUAGUUUUGGACAAUUAAUAAAUGUGUAUUUUUAGAGUUUGAAUUCUGGUUGAAUUUUAUAAUAUGGUUGGAAUGUGAUGCUUUGGUGUUA